rnacentral:rRNA from 1 species
UACGUAGGGUGCGAGCGUUAAUCGGAAUUACUGGGCGUAAAGCGUGCGUAGGCGGUCCGCGAAGUCUGAUGUGAAAGCCCCCGGGCUCAACCUGGGAAUUGCAUUCGAGACUGCGUAGCUAGGGUGCGGAAGAGGGAAGCGGAAUUUCCGGUGUAGCGGUGAAAUGCGUAGAUAUCGGAAGGAACACCAGUGGCGAAAGCGGCUUCCUGGUCCAGCACCGACGUUCAGGCACGAAAGCGUGGGGAGCAAACAGG